rfam:Entamoeba invadens IP1 unplaced genomic scaffold scaff_1105074724587, whole genome shotgun sequence.
GGUCACUUAGCGCAGUGGAAGCGCAUCUCCCUCCGGAGGAGAAGGCCGUGGGUUCAACCCCCACAGUGACCG